rnacentral:rRNA from 1 species
AGUGAGGCUUUCGGACUGAUCUAGGGCGGGGUUCAUUCGCCGCCUCUGGUCGGAAAGUUAUCCAAACUCGGUCAUUUAGAGGAAGUAAAAGUCGUAACAAGGUCUCCGUUGGUGAACCAGCGGAGGGAUCAUUACUGAGUUUACGCUCUACAACCCUUUGUGAACAUACCUAUAACUGUUGCUUCGGCGGGUAGGGUCUCCGCGACCCUCCCGGCCUCCCGCCUCCGGGCGGGUCGGCGCCCGCCGGAGGAUAACCAAACUCUGAUUUAACGACGUUUCUUCUGAGUGGUACAAGCAAAUAAUCAAAACUUUUAACAACGGAUCUCUUGGUUCUGGCAUCGAUGAAGAACGCAGCGAAAUGCGAUAAGUAAUGUGAAUUGCAGAAUUCAGUGAAUCAUCGAAUCUUUGAACGCACAUUGCGCCCGCCAGCAUUCUGGCGGGCAUGCCUGUUCGAGCGUCAUUUCAACCCUCAAGCUCUGCUUGGUGUUGGGGCCCUACAGCCGAUGUAGGCCCUCAAAGGUAGUGGCGGACCCUCCCGGAGCCUCCUUUGCGUAGUAACUUUACGUCUCGCACUGGGAUCCGGAGGGACUCUUGCCGUAAAACCCCCCAAUUUUCCAAAGGUUGACCUCGGAUCAGGUAGGAAUACCCGCUGAACUUAAGCAUAUCAAUAAGCGGAGGAAAAGAAACCAACAGGGAUUGCCUCAGUAACGGCGAGUGAAGCGGCAACAGCUCAAAUUUGAAAUCUGGCCCCAGGCCCGAGUUGUAAUUUGCAGAGGAUGCUUUUGGUGCGGUGCCUUCCAAGUUCCCUAGAACGGGACGCCAGAGAGGGUGAGAGCCCCGU